rnacentral:miRNA from 1 species
GCCCCGGGCAGUGUGAUCAUC